UACGAAGGGGGCAAGCGUUGUUCGGAAUUACUGGGCGUAAAGGGCGCGUAGGCGGCUUAUCAAGUCAGGCGUGAAAUUCCCGGGCUCAACCUGGGGGCUGCGCUUGAUACUGACGGCCUCGAGGGAGAUAGGGGCAUGCGGAACUGUAGGUGGAGCGGUGAAAUGCGUUGAUAUCUACAGGAACUCCGGUGGCGAAGGCGGCGUGCUGGAUCUCUUCUGACGCUGAGGCGCGAAAGCUAGGGGAGCAAACGGG
rnacentral:rRNA from 1 species